rnacentral:lncRNA from 1 species
AGACAUAACAAUGACUCCAUUGAACUGAAAGUUAAGUUAAGACUGCCACUAGGCCACUUUGGGCUCCUUAUACCUGGGUCAACAGGCCAAGGAGGGAGUUACAGUGUUGGCUGCAUGACUGAUCUGAUUACUAAGGGGAAAUUGGACUACUGGUCAACAGUAGUUGAGUAUUGGAGAUUCUCUCUGGACUAUUUCAUGGCUCAGGAAACACACCUCCCUUCCCCACUUCCUGAGUGUAUGGGAUGGCCACAUAUACUGAAGCUCAAUCUUAUGAAAAGAGCACUUCAGAGGCAGGAGGAUCUGGAUUUGAAUCCUGGCUUUAUCCUGGGCUGAACAGGACCAGUUCUGCUUUCUGCCCUGGGGCAAGUUUCCCAACAUCGCUGAGCAUCUGUUUCCUUUACUAUAAAAUGAGGACAAUGAUACCACGUGGGAUUGUUGAGAAGAUAAAAAGAGAAAGCACUUGAAAAGCUUCUAAACAUAACCUUUCACAAAGCAAUUCAAUAACUGUUAGCUCCCUUCUCUCCUCUUUGCAGCUGCUGUUUCCUGGAGUUACAAACGUUUCUAGGUAAGCCACAACCAGAAAGAACAAUGGGAGGCCCAGAAGCCCACCUCCAACCACUCCAACCAGAUACACCAAGGACUCUGGCUCAGACCAGAUACAGCCACCUUGGUGAUCCAGAGAGGACUCCUACUGGGUGCAGUGUCUCAAGCCUGUAAUCCCACCACUUUGAGAAGCCAAGGUGGGAGGAUUGCUUGAAGCCAGGAGUUCAAGACCAGCCUGGGAAACAUAGCGAGACCCCAUUUCUACAAAAGAAGAAAAGAGAGAGAGAGUGAGAGAGGUCUCCUGUCAGGAAUCAUGCUCAAGUUCUGAUUCAAUUUCAAUGAGAGAUAAGGGAGUAAACAGCAGGAAGGAGGGAGAUUCCAGAAAACCCCAAGACUGCAUUGUUGGGCUGUCAUUGUUCAUGGGAAUUACUCACCCAUGGGUCUCCAUCUGGUUUCACCCACAGGUCUGUGCACCAUGUCUUGCUCUCUAGGAACCAGAACAUCUCUAUGGUUCUUUGGAUACAAGUACUCUAUUUCAGUGGCUCUUAGAUUUUUGUUUAUUUUUAAGAAGGGAUACUGGUGGUGAAUUGCCUUAAGAUUACUAAAAUAAAAGCAUUAAGAAACUCCCCAAAA